GUCCGCCUUACGAUGCGUCUACGGUUCUGCUCACGUGGAAAGUCAACGAGGAAAAUUUGUGACGUGCUUAACCCACAUCCACACCGAUGUAAGGUAUCCGUGAACACACGAAUGUGUGCGUUCUUGUGAUUCCCUUUAUCUGGUUUUCCGUCAAAAAAGUCUGCACGAAACUGGCAAACGAAUUCAUAAUUUUUUCCUUAUGCGUGCAAUAUUAUCCUGACGGUUGAUCUUUAGUGUUCGUAUAAUGCGUAAACUUUCUUAUGGAGAGAAAUACGAAAGACUAUAGCUAGGUGAGUGAACGUCGAAAGGUCCAUGAACGCAAUGGGACCCCUUUGAGUUUCACCAGCUGGUACACUGUCUCUUUUCGAGACAUACGCAAAUUUAAUUAUUACAUGAUCACUUUUUGCAAUCAAACAGCACAAUUACUGGAAUGUAUCAACUAAAUUUUUCCAAUAAGCAGAAAAAUAACCCAGAAAAUCCAAACCAGCCAAAGGAAUAUUAUUCUGCAGGACAUUCAGAAGGACAUAUACAACAAAUACCUUCAGGUUAUAACAUUAGCAGUGUUCAAAAUAUCGGUACUCCAGAUAAUAUACUUAUGCCAACUGCAGAUUAUACAAAAUCCAUGGAGAGUUUUCAAUCUGUUGAUGGUCAGUCUAUUGCUACUCAUGAACAUGCUGUGUCAAGUAUGUAUCAAACAAAUGCCAACAAAGUUACUGAUAAUGCAUCACAAAAUAUGUAUGAUCAAUGGUAUAACAAUAAUGCUAUACCACCACCAAUUGAAAAUUCAUGGUUCUCAAAAGAUAAUAUACGUGGAACAAAACAGUGGCCUGAACAAAGUGUCGAAAAUUACGAAAAUAUUCAACAGCCUUCUGAGUUUGUCAAUUUAGAAGUUGUUAUUCCUGCACUAGAAGAACGUGAUAUUUAUGGAUCUCGUGAUUCUAUAAAUAGAGAAACAUUAGAUAAUGAUCCUAAAGCUGUUGCAAAUGUUCAAAAAGAAACAAUUAAUGUACGUGAAUAUAGACAAGAAGUAAAUAAUGUUGAAGUUCCUUCUAUACAACAGCAUACGCAAAGUCAUCGAUCUAUGCAACAGGAACAAGCUCUAAAUAAUUAUGAAUUUGCAUCGAAUGAUAGAAACACAUUUUUAGAAACAGGAGAAUUAACAGAUUCUCAUCCUGAUCAUGAAUUAUCUCCACCAAAUCAGGAUGAUGAAAAUGAUGAAGUACCUAAUGAUAUUCCUUUUCUACGUGAAGUUCCUGGUCAAUCUAGUUCUAUUGAUCUUAGAAAUGAUAGAAAUGAUCCUGCAGGGCAAGAACAAUAUAUACAAUCCGUUCAGCGACUUUCUGAUCCAAGAAGAAAUGAUCCUUCUGGACAAGAACAAGGGCUUCAAAUUAGAAAUAUAUCUGAUAGAUCGGAACGUCGAGAUGUUCCGCCUGGGCAGGAAAGAAGUAUAUCUUCUCUUUCUCGAAGUGAAUCAGAUACAUUAGAACGACAAAAUGAUCCUUCUGGCAGAGAACGUUCUUUGGCUCCACAACAAUCUAGAAAUGAUCCAUCGGGAGAAGAGAGAUACCAAGUACAAUCUCAAAUAAUGCUUGAAUCAAGUGAAAUACGUGAAAUACCUGGAAGAGGCAACGAACCUGAAGAAGUUACUCAACAAUCAGAUGGAGGACUUAGACAAAUUCCAGGAGGUGCAUCUCCUAACGAAACCAUUCAAUCUUCAGAUGAUAGAUCUGCAGGACGAGUAGUUACAGGUUCUCAAGAGUUUCCUUUGUCCAUUCCCUCUAUUUCGGAUCAAACCAGUGAUUCAAGAAAUAAACGAGAGGAAGCGGUUGGAGCAUCUGAAGGAGGUAAUCAAAGUGUUCAAGUACCGUCAGUGCGUAAAGAUUCCUACGAAAACGAAGAUGAUGAAGGAUCUGGGAACAGUAGAGAAGAUAGUAGAGAAAGACAUAGAGAUGCCAGUCCUGAGCGCAGACGUCAUAAUUAUGAUUAUGACAGAAAAAAUACAUAUUACGAUCGUGAACGUGAGUAUGAUGAAGAUUAUUAUUACGAACGUCGACGUGGAGUAGACAAUGAAAGACCGUACAAUGAUUUCGAACGUAGAGAUCUUUCUUAUAGAGAUGACGAUCGUAAACAUCAUAGUCGUGAUGAUUUGGAUCGUCAUCCGAGGGAUGAAAUUGAAAGAAGAAACAGAGUUAAAGAUGAUCCAGAUGAUAGAGAUGGGCGAAGAAGGCAAGAUGAUCGUAGGAGAGGUAGAGGCGAUGAUCCAGGUAGAAGGGAAAGAGAAACUAGAGAUUAUGAUUUGAGGUAUACUAGAGACAGAGAAUACGUCGGUCGUGAUAGAAGAAGGGACGACAGACGACCUAGAAGAUACGAUGAUUAUGAUAUUAGAGACCCAUAUAGAAGGGAAUAUUAUGAAGAUCCUUAUAGUAGAAGUUCCAGACCUUCAAGCAGAUCUUCUUAUAAUGACAGAGACAGGGAAUAUUACAUGCGUUCUAGAGAUCCUUACUAUGCUUACAAUGGAUAUGGCGGAUAUGACUAUAAUGCACAUUAUGGUAACAAUUAUUACGCAUAUCUCGAAAAUUUACGUCGUACCAAUCCUGCUGCUUAUGCAGAAUGGUAUCAUAAAUAUUAUACUAGCCAGCAUCCACAGCAACACAUAUCUAGAGGUGUUAGUAAUUAUCCAGAGGAUAGAGCUAGUGUACAUUCAGGACGCAGUUCUUGCGAGGAACGAACCACUGGAGAUAAACGAACCUUAGCUCAUAUGUCACAGUUUGAAGACUCAACAACAACAUCUGCACGACUAACACCAACAAAAUAUUCCACUUGCCAUGUAUAUGGAUCUUUUUCUAUUGGAUCACUUAUACAUGUUCAGCCAAGUUAUCCAGCUGAUGGUGAGAGGGCUAAAGUGGACAUUUUACGAUUAGAUAAUCUAUUCUUGCAUGAUCCUGUUGCACGUGACUUACGUGCCUAUCCGGGACCUCUAAUUAAGCAAGUAGGAGUCACGCACAAAAAAACGAUAAUUAAAUACUGCGAAAAUAAAAUUAAAAAAGCAACAGCCAAUGAUGAUAUGAUCGAUCGUUCUUCUUAUAUACUUUUGUAUGAAUUGAUGAUUAUGUUAAUCCAACAAAAUGGCAACGUUGUUGGCGUUGAUAUAGCAGCACUUUUACUUAGAAAUAAAGAUGCUUAUCCUUAUGAUGUAAAUAAGCAAAAGUUUCAAGAUACAGGAAGAAGAGAGUCUGUGAUGUCACAGCGAUCUGGAAUAAGUGUAAAUGGAAACAAUCAAGAUAUUCCAGUAACUGCUGAAAAAGUUGAAAGUACCAAACAACAAAAAACUGUAGAACAAAUGACGGAUGAAUUUAGGAAUACACUUCUUUAUGGAUUAGUUCAAGAAGCAUUAGAAUAUGCUAUGACUGAAGGACUAUGGGGACAUGCACUAUUUUUAGCUAGCAAAUUGGAUAAGCGUACCUAUGCUUCAGUAAUGACGCGAUUUGCAAAUAGUCUAUUACCCUCUGAUCCAUUACAGACAUUAUAUCAAUUGCAUUCUGGUCGUAUACCAGCCAUUGUAACAUGUGUAUCAGAUCCACGAUGGGAUGACUGGAGACCUCACUUAGCUAUGAUUAUUUCAAAUACAUCUACUAAUCCUGAAAUUAAUCGGCGAUCAAUAACAACACUUGGAGAUACACUUUUUGCGAGAGGGGAUAUCUACGCGGCUCAUUUUUGUUACAUUUUGGCACAAGUUGAUUUUAGUGCAUAUGGAAUAAAUACAGCAAAACUUGUUCUUAUCGGUUCUAAUCAUCACAAACCGUAUUCUGAGUUUAUGACAACAGAAGCUGUUAUGCUAACAGAAAUUUAUGAAUAUGCUCGUAAUCUUAGUGAGCCUGGUUUUACUUCAGUAGACCUUCAAACUUUUAAAUUUGACUUGGCAGUAAAAAUGGUUGAUUAUGGUCUGAUAGAAAAAGCCCUACUUUAUAUAGAACAGAUUGCAGUAAACAUUUUUAAUGAACCUUCAAAAUAUAAAAAAUCCUUUAUUAUGGCAGUUUACGUUUUGGGUGAUAAAAUCAAAUAUCAUGAUCCUGUUUGCAAAGAUUCUACUGAAGAUGCUACUAAUCUUACUUGGUUGAAUAACUUAGCAGAAAUUGUGAAUAAAUAUCAGAUUGGAGAAAUUGUUGAAGGUGAUGCAUAUGAAUCACAAGUAAACGCAGAUGGACAAAGUACUUUACAAAGUCAGGACACCCAUGAUAUUAAGUUACAAUCACACCAACAACAAAUACAACAACAAUGGGUUACUAAACAAUCUGAAUACAGAGAUGGACCAACAUCUAUGGUAGAUGUUACAGCCCCAGAUAUGCAGUCAGAUUGGGAACCAUUAUCAUUGCCGUCAAAUAUACAACAAGAUACAUAUAAUCAAUCUGCACAAUAUAUGCAUAAUAAUGAAAGUAAUCAAUAUCAACAACCUCAGCAACAAGAUUACUGGAACCAACAACCAACACACUAUCAAAACAAUUUUGGUAGAAACGGUGGUACAUCUCCUAGCUGGCAACAACAAUCUACUCAAUAUACAGAUGAUCAGCCUGACAUUGAUAAUUCUCAACAACAGGAAAAAUGGAACUAUGAGGCGGAAAGAGAAGAAAAAACAUCUACUCCUGAACCAACGCAACCAACAAUUUCUAUGACACCUUCUACGGGUAAACAAUAUGAUCCAUUAGAAGAGUUAGAUGCCUUAGAAACACCAAGACAAACUGCUAAAUCUACAACAGAAAAUAAGAAGACAUCUGAGAAAAAUACUGAAAAGAAACCACCUAAUGGAGGUAGUUCAUGGUUUGGAGGUCUUUUCAGCAAAUUGGCUCCAAAACCACGUAAUCAAAUGAUACUACCAGAUGACAGUAAUCCUACGAUUGUUUGGGAUCCUGUUGCAAAAAAAUGGAUGAAUAAAGAUGAAGAUGCAGAUAUUAGUUCAGCAGCAUUGCCUCCACCACCAAAAGCAACUGACAUGAGUUUCAAACCAUCAUCAACUGAACAAGUUACUGCACCUCAACGUCCUAUACAUAGUAAACAAUCUAAAGAAGCAAUGAACAUAAAUGGUUCUAAAUUACACGCUAAUUACAAUAUGUUCAAAUUACAAAAAGGAAGAAAUAUGCGUGCCAAUUAUAUAGAUGUAAUGAAUCCAAAUGGUGGAAAAAGCAGUACAGCUUCACCAAAUGUACCAACACCUGCAACAUCUCCAUUCGUACCUAUGGCUGUAUCAUCUCCUCAAUUAUUCAUUCCUGCACCAGUAAAUGAUCCAAGUGCACCUGUCGAUUUUUUAACACCAGCUCCAGCACCAAGUAUACCUGCUGCACACCCUAAUGAAAAUGUAACUCAAGGACAGUCGGGGAGGCAGAAUGAUGUAGCCAAAUAAUAAUUGUUGCUGAUACUCUCUCGAUGGAGCUCAACCAGCUCAUUAUCGCGAGAGGUGCAGAGCUACACAAUGAGGGAUCCGCGUCUUCUCCAAAGGAAUAAGGACCAAUGAGCAAACCUGGUAAUAUCAAGGAUCGUGUAACGAAGAAUGUGCAACAUACUGGAUAUCCUCCAUGAUAAGUUCGAUUACGUAUUCUUAUCGGAAUAAUUGUUAAUUAAACGAAUUUCUUGUGUCUCAUACAAAUUGGAUUAAUUAUCUAAAGUGUAUAUUAUUAAUGUCUGGAUAGCAAAAACUUUGUCUACAUAGAUUUUUAACUUAGAUUUCGAAUCGAUCCAUUUUUAUUAGCAAAAUAAUCAGGAAUUACGAAAUUCGUAAAUGUUCGGGUUUUAUUAUAGAUAGAAAAUUUAGUAAAAGAUUCAGAAUUAUUAUAAGUGUAGUUAAUAAAAUAAAAAACUAGCAAUUAUUUUUUACUUAAGAAUUGAGACAUUUUGACAACUAGUGAACAAUACAGUAUCUUCUUAAUUAUAUAAGAUUUAAUUAAGGGAAUAAUUAUUCUGUUGUAAAAGAUCUUUUUGUAAUAUUCCCUUGUAGAAAAUUAUUUGACACUGCAAUGAAAGCAUAUAUACUUUGCAUUUUCUAAUUCGUAACACAUUGGUUUACUCCCUAAAUAUUUCAAAUAUAUUAAAAAAAAAUCUAUUUUUCUGUCAGAUAAUAUCUCUAUCUUUAAAAUGAAUGAAUUAGUCUUUAAAUUACCAUGGUACUUUUGUCAUCUUAUUAAUAUCUAUGCUAUCUACAUUUAUUUCUGAAAUUAAAAGAAAUAAACAUUGUGCAAAUUAUAAAUAAAAUAUUCUUUGGAAUGUACGCUUACAAAGGACUGAUUUGUUUAUGAAAAAUUAUUCAAAUUAUAAAUAAGAAGUAAUAGAUAUUUUGUUGCAAUUAUUUAUAAUUUAUAUAAAAAAUAAGUAAUUUGUCCUUUGUAAAAUUAUGUUCUACAUAUAUAUAUAUAUAUAUUUCAAAUAAUAAAUAGUAGAAAUGCUACAGAGUUUAUAUCUUAGUAAUUAUAAAAGUCUAUUAAAAAUGGCCUUGGUACGUGCUAUAAUUCGAAGUCUGAUUUUAUAUGCUGGCAAAACUAAAAGAAUGAAAAGGGUAAAUUGAAGAAUGUUAACAUACAGAAAUGUUAUGAAUUCUGUCUUUAAAUGUGUAAGAACGAACAAGUAUUGUUAUUAAUAGAUAAAUUAUUAAGAUAUUGAUACACCAAUGUAAUGUAACUGCCAUCCUAUAAGAUUGUAAAGAAGAGGAAAAAAGCAUAGUGUAAUGUAGUGUUAUUGGUGGAAUAAUGUUGUAGUUCAAAAAAUUUCCUGAUACUUUUAAUAAAAUCUUAAAUAUUCUACAGGUUGUGAAAUGAGGAAAGUAAAAAAAUGAAUUUGAUGCUUUUUAUGCAUAUUCGUUAAUUUUAUAAUUAAGUGAAUUAUGCAUUGUGUUUUUAUUUGCAACAUUGCUGUUCUUAUUUGAUUGUAAGAUUUUCUCACAAUUUUAAUAUCAUGAUUACUAGUAAUAACAAACGUGUGUGAACUCUACAUUACAUUUGCAUACAUUUCUAAAUAAACUUGCAUUAUGAUCAAAGAAAAAGAUUAAUAUGUACAAAUAUAGUGUAAAUUUUGAAUUGAUAAAGUGUAUGCAUAACUUACUAUGAAUACAAAAUUACUUUAAGACUAUUUUAUUAAUUAAUGCUGGAUGUUCAUAUUUAAUGAAAAUGUAUAGUACUUUUGGAUCACCGUUCAAAACUUUUUUUCUUGUAGUGUAUAGUGAUGUGAUUACAACAAAAUGUUUUAACUUCACUCUUUUACGGAUCUCAUUCUUUUUCAAGAAGAUAUUAAUGAUAUUUCUGUACUAUAUCUACCACCUGCUAUUGUGCUAACAGUUUUUGUCUUUUAGUUGCUAUAUAAAUUCCUGUACACAUUUUUAUCCUUGUGACAUAGUAAUAAAUUGAGGUACUUGCUACAUUUACAAGCUACAAGAGAAUGGUUGCAAUAGAAUAUGUGAAAUGCUGUGUACUUGUAUAUAUAUGGUAUUUAAGAUUUGUAAAUACUUAAGAUAUAAGUUGCUUGGAGAAAGAUUGGAAGUCAAUUUAACUGUUAAUAUUUAACAGCAGAUUUAAUAUACAAUUUUCCUUGUAUUUUAAAACUGUAAACAUUUUUGUUUGUGCAAAUCCUGCAUACCAUUUAUAAAAGUACACUGCAUAUCUAAUUUUUGAACUACACAUUCAAUGAUAUAAUAAAAUAGAGUGUCAAGGUUGAAUUGCAUUAAAAUGAUUGUUAAUUACAUUUUAAAUUUAGCACCAACAGCUUAAUAUUAUUAAUACUAUGUUCUUAAUACAUAAAUACAAAUAAAUUUAUUUUAGUGCAAUGUCUACUUGAAAUCUCUAACAGUGAUACAUUAUCAUGGAGAGAAAUGCAAAGAUUUUAAGAUUAAUGUUAUAGUUACAUGGAAAUAUUAAGUUGAGCUGGUAUGUUAUAUAUGUAUAGGAUGGUUGAAAAUUGAUAUGAAUGGCUUGGUUUAAUAUGCUAAGUAUAUAUACAUAAUUUAGAAUUCAAAGUUGUAUGUUUAUGGGAAAUAUGGAUAAUACUAAAUGUAUAAUGUAUAUUGAUGAUAUAACAACGGAUGUCAUAUUGCUAUUGCUAUAAUAAUAAACUAUAACGAAAGGAAAA